UAUUAGAAAUUGCAUUCAUUUCUACUGUUUAAAAUUGGCAUGACCACGUGUACCUCAUGCUGAUGUACAAAGACCAGUUUUUAAUAGUAAUAAUGGAUGAAAUUUUUAACA
rnacentral:pre_miRNA from 1 species